UGGUGGAAUAUUCAAGAUAGGAAGAUAAGCCAGAAUUGGACAACAUCUAACUUUCAUAUCCAUACCAUCACAAAAUUACCUCAAUGGCUAGCAGGUUUUUCAAUGCAAGCUACGAAGCACAAGCUGGUGGACACCGUAGUGAUUGAUGGGAUUCAGUUGUAGUCACCCACAUUAGUGAUUUUGAUUUUUUAGGAAGGCAGAGAUCCACAGCCAUAGCUGUAGAUCUGGAGCUCGAGCUGUGCAAAUCUAGAGAGAAAUUGUGAAGGUCAGAAACUUGCAGCUAUAGCUGUAGUUCUGCAGCUAUAGCUGUGGAAAUCUGGAAUGCUCAUUUUUUGGUUCCAAAGACUUGAAGCUAAAGUUGUAGGUCCAUAGCUUGAGCGUUGAGGCUUGGGAGAUCAAGGAAAGUCACAGAGACUCAUAGCCAUAGCUGUGGUUUCACAGCUAUAGCUUAGGGAGUUGCUUAAUCAUGAAGGAGUUUUCACAACCAUGGUUGUGGAGCUACAGCUGCAGUGCCAGGAGUUUCUUCACUCUGAAGGACUCUCCACAGCUAUAGCUGUGGAUUUACAACUGCAGCUGUGGGCGAAAAAAUCCCUUUUUGCCCCUGUUUCAAAGCUCAUAUAAAAGGGGAAAAUUGGAGAAACAGGGGGCAACACGAAACACAAAGAGAAAAACAGGAUUUGGAGCACGAAGAGGAGAAAACAGGGCAAGAGUGAAGAUUGGGAAGUUGGAUCAUUUGGGAACGAAGAUCAACCCCUUCUCUUCAUCUUUUAAUUUGUGAUUUCUUCUUCUACUCCUCUGAUUUGUAAUGGCCAUGUGUGGCUAAAUCUUUUGAGGAUUGGUCCUGGUGUAACUACUAACUCUUUUCUUUCUUAAA